rnacentral:rRNA from 1 species
AGAGUUUGAUCAUAGCUCAGGAUGAACGCUAGCAGUACGCAUAACACAUGCAAGUCGGACGGUAUUAUAAUUUAUGUACUUGUAUAUAGAUUAUGAGAGAGUGGCGAACGGGUGAGUAAUACCAUAGAACUUAUCUUUUAGAGAGGGAUACCUAUAAGAAAUUAUAGUUAAUACCACAUACACCCUAAGGGGGAAAGGAGUCAAAUCCGCUAAGAGAGAGACUUAGGUCCUAUCAGAUAGUUGGUGGGGUAAAGGCCUACCAAGUCAAAGACGGGUAACUGGUGUGAGAGCACGACCAGUCACAAUGGAACUGAGACACGGUCCAUACUCCCACGGGAGGCAGCAGUGAGGGAUCUUCCGCAAUGGACGCAAGUCUGACGGAGCGAUACUGCGUGAAGGAAGAAGGCUUGACUGUCGUAAACUUCUUUUCUGGAGGAAGAAAAUGACGGUACUCCAGGAAUAAGGGGCGGCUAACUACGUGCCAGCAGCCGCGGUAAUACGUAGGCCCCGAGCGUUAUCCGGAAUUACUGGGCGUAAAGCGUUUGUAGGCGGAAUAAUAAGUGAAAUAUAAAAGCUCAAAGCUUAACUUUGAGAAGUGUUUCAAACUGUUAAUCUAGAACAAGGGAGAGGAAAGCGGAAUUCUCGGAGUAGGGGUGCAAUCCGUAGAUACCGAGAGGAACACCAAAAGCGAAGGCAGCUUUCUGGAACUUCGUUGACGCUGAGAGACGAAAGUGUGGGGAGCGAAGAGGAUUAGAUACCCUUGUAGUCCACACCGUAAACGAUGAUAAUUAGAUGUUGGAGUGAGAACUUCAGUGUCAAAGUAAACACAUUAAAUUAUCCGCCUGAGGAGUACGGUCGCAAGACUAAAACUCAAAUGAAUAGACGGAGGCCCACACAAGCAGUGGAUCAUGUUGUUUAAUUCGAUAGUAAACGGGGAACCUUACCUGGACUUGACAUCCUAAGAAUUCUUUAGAAAUAGAGAAGUGCUCGUAAGAGAACUUAGUGACAGGUGCUGCAUGGUUGUCGUCAGCUCGUGCCUUGAGGUGUUCGGUUAAGUCCGUUAACGAGCGUAACCCAUAUUCUUAGUUAUAUAUGUCUAAGGAGACUGCCUUGGUUAACAAGGAGGAAGGUAUGGAUGACGCCAAAUCAGCAUGGCCCUUAUGUCCAGGGCUACAAACAUGAUACAAUGGUUAGUACAAAGAGUAGCGAACUAGAUAUAAAAUAGUAAGCCAAUCUCAAAAAGCUAAUCUCAGUCCGGAUUGAGGUCUGAAACUCGACCUCAUGAAGUUGGAAUUGCUAGUAAUCGUGAAUCAGAUAUGUCACGGUGAAUAUGUUCCUGGGCCUUGUACUCACCGCCCGUCACGGCAUGGAAGGUGGUAAUAUUGGAAGUUCUUCAAUUAAUAAGAAGACCCAUAGUAGGACCACUGACUGGGCUGAAGUCGAACAAGGUA